rnacentral:rRNA from 1 species
UACGAAGGGGGCUAGCGUUGCUCGGAAUCACUGGGCGUAAAGGGUGCGUAGGCGGGUCUUUAAGUCAGGGGUGAAAUCCUGGAGCUCAACUCCAGAACUGCCUUUGAUACUGAAGAUCUUGAGUCCGGAAGAGGUGAGUGGAACUCCGAGUGUAGAGGUGAAAUUCGUAGAUAUUCGGAAGAACACCAGUGGCGAAGGCGGCUCACUGGUCCGGUACUGACGCUGAGGUGCGAAAGCGUGGGGAGCAAACAGG